CCCUUAGAUGUCCUGGGCCGCACGCGCGCUACACUGAACGGAUCAGCGCGUUUUCCCUUCCCGAGAGGGACGGGUAACCUGCUGAACCCCGUUCGUGGUAGGGAUCGGGGCUUGCAAUUAUUCCCCGUGAACCAGGAAUGCCCAGUAAGUGCAAGUCAUAAGCUUGCGUUGAUUACGUCCCUGCCCUUUGUACACACCGCCCGUCGCUACUACCGAUUGAACGUUUUAGUGAGGUACUCGGACUGAACCUCAGAAGAUUCACGUCUUUUGUGCUGCUCGGGAAGAUUCCCAAACUUGAGCGUUUAGAGGAAGUAAAAGUCGUAACA
rnacentral:rRNA from 1 species